rnacentral:rRNA from 1 species
GACGAACGCUGGCGGCGUGCCUAAUACAUGCAAGUCGAACGAGAGCGACCGGUGCUUGCACUGGUCAAUCUAGUGGUGAACGGGUGAGUAACACGUGGGUAACCUGCCCAUCAGAGGGGGAUAACAUUCGGAAACGGAUGCUAAAACCGCAUAGGUCUUCGAACCGCAUGGUUUGAAGAGGAAAAGAGGCGCAAGCUUCUGCUGAUGGAUGGACCCGCGGUGCACUAGCUAGUUGGUGAGGUAACGGCUCACCAAGGCCGUGAUGCAUAGCCGACCUGAGAGGGUGAUCGGCCACAUUGGGACUGAGACACGGCCCAAACUCCUACGGGAGGCAGCAGUAGGGAAUCUUCCGCAAUGGACGCAAGUCUGACGGAGCAACGCCGCGUGAGUGAAGAAGGUUUUCGGAUCGUAAAACUCUGUUGUUAGAGAAGAAUAAGUGCUAGAGUAACUGUUAGCGCCUUGACGGUAUCUAACCAGAAAGCCACGGCUAACUACGUG